UUUACAGAGUUCCUUUCAAGAGAAACACAGAACGUGUAAAGCAACUGCGACAUGACUAUGUGCAGAGAGUGAUGGAACUAGAAGCAGAUGCAAUGGGACAUGAGCUACUUUUUGUGGAUGAGGCCGGUUUUAACCUCAGUAAAACCAGGAGACGUGGCAGGAACAUUAUUGGACACCGUGCCAUCAUCAAUGUCCCAGGACAACGUGGUGGUAACAUAACCAUGUGUGCAGCUAUAAGCCAAAAUGGUGUUGUUCACCAUCAUGCAACCA